rnacentral:lncRNA from 1 species
CCCAUCUUCUGCGUCGCUCACACUGGGAGCUGUAGACCGGAGCUGUUCCUAUUCAGCCAUCUUGGCUCCUCCCUCCCAGGUGAGCAUGUAAGAAUCACUGGCCUUGAUACUGCAGGCUGAGAACUCUGGCAGCAACUUCCAUGACUUUUGCUCACCAAGCUCUUCCAACAGAUAUUCCUGGAGCUUGGAAGUCUGCGAUCAGGGUGCCAGCACGAUCAUUUCUGAAACACUUCGUUGAACUCCUCACACCACCAUUCCAGAAGUCCUGCCUGUCCAUGGGCCAUUUCUUAUAUAUAAGGAAGAAUGAUUCAGUGGAUACAACCAAGAACUCAGAGGGUGGAGCCAAGAGCUAAGAAGAAUCAUUCCCAGAGAUCAGGACUGGGCCGUGAUGAAAGAACUAGUGAUGGAUUUCAGAAUUGCUAUGGAAUGCUAUGUGUUUCCUUGUUCCCCUCCUUUGUGAACUGAAGUGUCUACUGUGAUUAUUAAGUUUCUAACUCACCAUUGUAUGUUGGGUAUGUGGGGGCAUAUAAUUUGUUUCUUUAUUUCAUAGGUCCUGAGAUCUAGAGGCUCUGUACUCAAGGAGCUUCACUUGAGGAGCCUCAUCUCCACCUAGACCUGAUUUAGCUGAUGAAAUCCUGGUCCUCAGAUCUAAUCCUGAUGUUAAAAUAGGCUGAGACUUCUGGGGGCCUUGGGGGAAGGUGAAUGUCUUUUGCAUGUGUGAGAAAUGUAAAUAAUUUAUGGCUAGAGAGGAGAGUGUGGUAGACUUAAAAUGGCUGCAAAUUCCUUGUGGCUCCUCCCAUUGAAUCUGGACUGGCUUUAGUCACUGCUUGACUAACAGAAUACAGUAUAUGUGAUGUUGUAGAAUUUUAGUCACAAGAUCACAAAAAACCUUGAUCUUCUGCCAGGGACUUUUUGAAUGCACCUGCCAUGCUGUGAGGAAGUCCAGGUAACCACAUGGAGAACCACACAGAGACAGAAUUUGAGAUCCCCAGCUGGCAGCCCUAGUGGAGCUCCUAGCUGACACCCAACACCAAUUUGCCAGUAAUGAAGAUAAUUCAUUCUGGAAGUGGAUACUCAGUUCCAGUGGAGGCAUCGGGUGACGCUGUGUAGCGCAGAAAUGAGCCAUCCCCACCCAAAUUGCAGACUUAUGAGUAAAAAUAAAUUACUGUUUUGAGCUACUGUUUUAGAGUGGUUUGUUAUGCAGCAUAAAUAACCAUAACGUUCCUUAACCUAGCAACUCCACAUCUAUAUGUCUACCUUAAAUAAACUCUUGUGAAUAAAAAAUAUGAAUGAG